UUCCGGUUGAUCCUGCCGGACCUGACUGCUAUCGGAUUGGUACUAAGCCAUGUGAGUCGUUGUAGCAAUACAAGGCAUACGGCUCAGUAACACGUAGUCAAUCUAACCUAUGGACGGGGAUAACCUCGGGAAACUGAGGAUAAACCCCGAUAGAUCAUUAUGCCUGGAACGGUUUAUGGUCCAAAUGAUUCGUCGCCGUAGGAUGGGACUGCGGCCUAUCAGCUUGUUGGUGAGGUGAUGGCCCACCAAGGCUAUUACAGGUACGGGCUCUGAGAGGAGUAGCCCGGAGAUGGGUACUGAGACACGGACCCAGGCCCUAUGGGGCGCAGCAGGCGAGAAAACUUUGCAAUGUGCGAAAGCACGACAAGGUUAAUCCGAGUGGUUUCUGCUAAAGGAACCUUUUGUCAGUCCUAGAAACACUGGUGAAUAAGGGGUGGGCAAGUUCUGGUGUCAGCCGCCGCGGUAAAACCAGCACCUCAAGUGGUCAGGAUGAUUAUUGGGCCUAAAGCAUCCGUAGCCUGCUUUGUUAGUUUUCGGUUAAAUCCAUACGCUUAACGUAUGGGCUGCCGGGAAUACUGCAAAGCUAGGGAGUGGGAGAGGUAGACGGUACUCGGUAGGAAGGGGUAAAAUCCUUUGAUCUAUUGAUGACCACCUGUGGCGAAGGCGGUCUACCAGAACACGUCCGACGGUGAGGGAUGAAAGCUGGGGGAGCAAACCGGAUUAGAUACCCGGGUAGUCCCAGCUGUAAACUAUGCAAACUCGGUGAUGCAUUGGCUUGAUGCCAAUGCAGUGCCGCAGGGAAGCCGUUAAGUUUGCCGCCUGGGAAGUACGUACGCAAGUAUGAAACUUAAAGGAAUUGGCGGGGGGAGCACACAAGGGGUGAAGCCUGCGGUUCAAUUGGAUUCACGCCGGGA
rnacentral:rRNA from 1 species